AACGAACGCUGGCGGCAUGCCUAACACAUGCAAGUCGAACGAGACCUCCGGGUUCAGUGUCGCACGGGGUCGUAACGCGGGGGAACCUGCCCCUAGGCUCGGAAUAACUUCCCGAAAGGGGCGCCAAUACCGGAAAUAGUCUCCGGACCAAAGGUUUAUCGCAAUUGGAGGGGCGCGAGUCGGCUCCGCUGGUGGGUAGGGUAAAAUGCUACCAAGGCGACGCUCCAUAGAGGGUCUGAGAGGCUGAUCAGCCACACUGGGACUGAGACACGGCCCAGACUCCUGCGCGAGGCAGCCGUGGGUGAUCUUGGCCAGUCGGCGGAAGCCUGAUCCAGCACUGCCGCGUGAGUGCUGAAGGCCUUAGAGUUGUCAAGCUCUUUUACCCGGGAUGAUAAUGACAGUACCGGAAGAAUAAGCUCCGGCUAACUCCGUG
rnacentral:rRNA from 1 species